GCUCGUGACGGAGCAAGAUAGACAGGUUCUCUUGUAUCACAAUCCUUCCCGUUUGGGUGGAAUGCAGACAGUAAGCAAAUAAGGAUGACGACAGAUUCUGAUUAAAUGUUGUAAAUUAGGUUAAAUGGGAUGAUGUGAUGGAGCAUAAUCAGGGGACAAUUUAGAUGGGUGGUCAAGGAGGGCCUCUCUGAGGAGGUGACCUUUUUUUGAGAUCUGAAGGAUGAAAAGGCACUACCUAUGGGAAAAGUCAAAGAAAAGUUGUUAGAGGCAGAGGUAACAGCCAGCCUGAAAGGUUUGUGUCAGGGAUGAGUUUAGAGAGAUGGAGAAAUGGAAACGGGCCCCUCUGAAUGGGGCUGCGUAAGAGGCUGCUCUAAAGAUGAGUAAGCAGAUGUCAACUUGACUGGGCAUGACGGUAUGUUUGGAUUUUGCUCUGAGUGGGAUGGGAAGACCAGUGGAGGUUCAGAGCAGGGAAUUACCAUAAUCUCAUUUACAUUUUAAAAAGCUGUUGGGUGUGAGGUAGUUUAAGAGGAGGGUAAAUAAGAGCUAUCCUAGUCGUAAAGGUGGCCUAGAGCGGGGGGACCUCAAUGGUCAUAGAGAGAAGCGAAUGGAUUCAAGAAGUUCGGGGGCUUGUGUUUGCCGGAGUGAAGGACUCCAGCCGGCUGCUUUCACCGUGUCAUGGUCUCCGUCUUCAAGGAGCAGACGUGAUACUGGAGAAGAACAUCUCUUGCCAUUUUAAAGCCUUUGGAGAACAGAGAGUAAUAAAAUCUUGCCUGGAAGAUGUUUGUGAACUCCUCCAGAGGACAUGGCCGCCUUCUCUGAGCCUCCUCCAUAAUCAACUUUAUCCAAAACGUGCAGAAGUCCGUGUCUUACCUUUCCCCAGUUCAAGGAAGCUGGAAGUGUUACAAAGAACCUGGAAUUUCCAGUGCAAGCCUUGGAUUUACAGAUCUGAGAAGAUAAUCUGGGGGAAGAAUGGACUGAAUGAAGAAUGGGGUCUUUUAACUAUUUUUUUUUAACGGGAAGGGAGUCAAAGAUUCUUUGGAGUACCCAGAACGAUAGAAUGGCCCUGGAGUCAGUCAGACCUGGGUUCAAAUCCUGCCUCCGACUUUUGCCAGGUGUGUGAACUUGGCUAGUCCCCAACUUCUCUGAGCCUCCAUUUUCCCAUCUGUAAAAUGGAGAUCGUAAGAGGUGCCAUUCCAAGAGGCGGUUGCGAAGCUUGAAGAAGAGAUUACACGUCAAGUGUUUGGCACACUAUUUUUGUUACUGCUAGAGUGAUUGUUAUCAUUCUCAUCAAAGGAAUAAUAAUUGCCAUAAGAACAAUCUUAAAAUUAUUAUUAUUAGUGUCGUUACUACUCUUGCCAUUUGGCAGUUGAUGAAACUGAGACCCAGAGUAAGUGACUUGUCCAAGGCCACAGUCCCCUGACUCCUAAGCCAGCACUCACACAUUUCCCCCAUUAGGCACACCCAGGCCCCUUUCCCAGCCCAUCUGGUCACCGAUGGCAGCUCUGAUGAAGCAACAGGGGCAGCUGCCAGCCUGAGAGGAGCGACUGGGCAGCCCUCCACACCCGGCACCAUUUAAUCUGAUGACCUCCGAAGCUGGCUUUUCCAGCUAACCGUCCGGCCUCCAGAAGAGCAGCAUUAAGGAGUUAAUGGGGCCUGGCAGAGGCACUGGGCCAUCUGUUCUUAAUUACCCAAAGUGCACAAGGCUGAGGGCAGGCUGGCGUGGGGCGGCCGGGCACUGCCAGCAUGGUCGGGUGGCUGUCCUCCCUCAGCCACCCCGCCACCCCAGAUUCCCGAGUCCCUCACUCACCUCUCUCACCUCUCCCACCUCUGAGGCUGAGAAGCAGAAGCUCGUGUCCAGGAACCCCAAGGGAGCAGAGGCAGAGAUGGGGAGCAGGGGAAGGGAAGGGUCUUAGGUCUAGUCCUCCAGAUGCAGAGCCUGAAGCGAGGGUUCUUGCACAAGUGAUUUAUUAGGGAGGAUCUCUCAGGAGAAAGGGGAGUGAGGGCAGCAGGACAGGGCAGAAGGAGCUGAGCAAAGAUGGAGACCAUCUUCACAUUGGUCCCUGGGGCGCUCUGGAGCUUGAAUCGCACCACAGAGUUGGUCCCAGCUCAAUGCAAGGGAGUGAAGCCAUUCUCUGGAGAGGGGGGCAUGCAGCUGUGAGUUGCUAUCUGCCAACUCUGGUGGCAGCCAGGGAAGGGAUACACCCACCAGAAAGGAAGGAAGUCUGGGUAGGGUACCAAGAGAAGCGCCCAGAAGCUGCAAGGCAGAUCCUUGAAAAAAGAAUCCUUUGAAAAGAAACCGAGCCUGCUGCCUGCUUUUUUUUUUUUCCGACAGGAAGCUGGAUUGAGCCCCUCACUCCUCAAGCCCUGAUCCACAUAAAGCCCUUUCCACUUUCCUCAGAGGCCGAUGCAGCAGCUGGUGAAGAGAAUGAACUGGGCACACAGACGUGUGUGUGAACCUUGGCUCUUCCAGAAGCCCACUAGCUGGCUGCCCUUGGGAAGGACACCUGGAUUCUGAGCCUCAGUCUCCUUGCCUGUAGAAUGGGAAUAAUAGUGCUCCCCACCUUGAGGGGCUUUCUGUGAAGAUGGAACGAGACGGUGCUUGUGAAGGACUCAGAACAUGCCUGACACUGACCAAAUUCUUAAUUAAUGGUCGGGGGGGAGGUGCUCAUGGUCCUUCUUUCUCCUUUUUCUUCUUCCUCCUUUUCUUCCUCCUCCUCUUCCUCCUUCCUGCUAUCAUUGCUGUUGUUGGUAGAGGUGAUGAUGUUGCUAUCUCUUGGCAAAUUAAUGGACUUGAUUUGGAGUGAGGCAUGUUCAAUUUAGGAGAGGAACCCAAAUCCAUUCCCAAGUGAUGCUGUGCUAUUUCUGAGACAAUCUUAAAAAUCUACAUUUGUGUGUGUGUGUGUGUGUGUGUGUGUGUGUGUGUGUGUGUGUGGAACCCCUGGCCUUCCCCUGGGAGCCCUCGACAGGUGCCAGGUUGGAGUAGGAAAUGCGAAGUCAGCCAGCACAGGAUCCACGUGAGAGCCCCGCCUCCUCUAAGCUGGGUGGCCUUCAGCAAGUUCCGCAUCCUCUUAGACUCAGAUUUCUUAUCCAUAAAAUACCCAAUAGAGUGAUACUGGGAAGAUUAAAUGAGGCGAUGCCUUGAGUCCAGGUCCUGGUCUCUAUGGAAAUGCAUAGUCUGGGCCUGUCUGGUGUUCUGGCACAUUGCAGAUGCUUAACAAUUAGUUUCUCUUCUCACCUUAAGGGCUGGUAAAUUUGGAUUUGGAUCGAGUUCAGUCACUUCUGUCUUGGACUGUGGACCAUUUUGCCCUUAGAUUGAAGCUCCACUGCUCCAGACUGCUGUGUGCUCGGGGGUCAGAAAGAUGUGGUUCAAAGCCUUGCUAUCUGUGCCACUUCGUGAGCUGUUUACGUAAUCUUUCUGCUCCUGUGUCUUCCUCUGUAAAACGGAGCCAUUAACAUGUUCCUUUCAGCAUUGUCGUGCCGAUUAAAUUAGAUAAUGCGGUUGUGCCUGGGACCUACCCUUAGUGAAGGGAGAACCAAUGCCAAAUGAGGCCAUUAAUGAUAUCCAGGAAGAAGCACAUCUCUGUGGCCAUUUGAUGAAAAUGCUCAGAACAUUUUAGUGAUGCUGAAACGUUAAUUCAAUAGGCAGAGCUGCCCCAUCCGCCUCCAUUCUAUGGCUCCAGGCUGGAUGCAUUUGCACGCUUAGAUUUUGGCUCGUGAGUCCUGCUGCCUGGUGCACGUUGCGGGGUGUGAAUAUGAGCCUAAUUAUGAAGGAGUGAGUGUCGCAUGUCCCUGUGAUCAUGGCAGGGUUUGAUGCCUGGGAUCCCUGUGGUCUGAUGGAGACGGUGUUUGGAGACGAAUGUUAGAUUUGCAAGGAGAGUGCCAGGGACGUCGGCCAGUGUUACAGCUUGAUUGUAAAUUCACCGCAGAGCUCCUCGUUGCUGUUCUGAAAAUGGCAUCGCUCCUCUCUGUCUGGCAGGAGUGGAGGUGUCGUUAGUGUGGUUUACCAAAUAUUUCCAACUUUCCAGUCCUCUGCUGGGCUUACAUUGCCCUGUCUAAGGUUAGAUGUGGACGUGUGACCUGUGACGGUCCCAUUGAACCCCCGUGGCACAAAUGAGGAAGCAGAGUUUGUUAUGUCCCUCUGAGAUGUUGGGUUUGCUUGUUACUUCAGUGUAACUGACGGACCCUGACCCAUGCACUUGAGGGACGUGUGUGAGAUCCACAACGGUGGGGACCCUGCCUGAUUUUGUUCACGGUCUUAUUCCCAGGGCCUAGCACAGUGCCUGACACAUAUAAGCAGCUGAUAAAUACUUGUUGAAGAAUGAAAGAAAGGUCUCGGAUCCACAUACCUAAGUUUGCUCCUGGCUUUGCCACUUGUCAGCUCUGUGAACUCUGGAACUCACUUAACUUUUGUAAGCCUUAAAUUUCCUCAUCCUUGGAAUGGGACUGUCAUUCCUUGCCAUGUUACUAUAGGAUUUAUUCUGAUAAUGGGAAAGUCUCUGGCACAUAGUAGGUACCCAGUGUUACCGAGUCCUAAGGGACCAGUGACCCCCAAGUGGGUCCUUUUGCCUGGAACCGCUCAUGCCGAUAGAACGAGACCAGGUUCGGAAUAGCAGAGCAGAAACUUUAUUCAUUGAUCAAUGAAUGGAGGAGGCAGAGCUCGUGCGCUAAAACACCUUCUCCCCGAAGGGAAGGUGAGCAGGGUUCUUAUGGGAAGUGAAGGGGGUGGGGGCUCCAUGUCAGGGCUGGGGAUUUGGGG
ensembl:lncRNA